GCACCUGUAGCUCAGUGGGUAGGGCUCUGGCCACGUACACCCAGGGUGGCUGGUUCGAACCCAGCCUGGGCCA
rnacentral:tRNA from 1 species